GCAAAUCUUAAUCAACAAGUGUACAAUAAAACUUGGCAGUAACUUAGAAGGCAAAGAUGAUUUCCCAUCUAAGGGAUCAGCUCAAUGUAGAAGCCCAAAUUUGCUGGGCCCAGUGUCCAAAUAAAAGACAAUAAUAACAAACCCAAAAGACUAGCCCAAAUCAUGUUUAACCCAGCAGGCCCAAAAUUAAAAAAAAAAAACUAGCCUAGGAAGCUAAAAUUUUAGCAGCAGAAAACCCUAGCUACUCUUUGCGCCGCAUGCCUCCCCAGCCACCAGCCUCCUCACGCCUGCUUCUGCCACUACACGCCAUCGUCACGCCUUUUUGACACCUGCAGAGAGAAAUGAAUGCAAAGCAACAGGAGAAUCCAGCGAAAUAAAGAGCAAAAAACGAAAAAAUGAAAAGCAAUGGUUGUAAUAUGGCUAUAAAAGCCAAAGUCUCCUCUUGUAAAUUUUUUUAUGAACACUGGAAAUCAGAAAAGCAACACAAAAAUAUUGAAAUGGUUGAUUUAGAUCUUAUUAUUUUCUGUUCGUUUUCCCUUUUUUUCAUUUUUUAUCUUUUUGUUUAUUUAUUAUUUUUUUAUAAAUCUUUUUAAUAAAAAACGUAGAAAUAAAAAGGGGUUUAAAGGAGCCGUACCUGAGGGCGGUGCUCCUCCGUAAGGACGCCUAAGGUAGCCACCUCCGAUGAAAGGUGGCCGGAAGUCGAAGGGUCUUCGAUUAUUUCGGGCAUUUUCGCCUGAUUUUUGGAGGUUUCGGCUUCAAAUCGGGCUUGGGGAGGUCGUUUUGAUCGAAAUGGCUUUUUUUUUUGGAAUCCGACCGCCGUACACGAUGGUCACUGCCAUCGUCGGCCGGCGGCCAUGACGGACGGACGGUGGCUCUAUCGGCCGGAGAAAAGGGGAAGGGAUUGAGAGAGUUUUGAUGUUUUUUUU
rnacentral:lncRNA from 1 species